GGCUUUCCGCAGUGGCAGUGUCGUAGCCAAUGAAGUGCUUCCGAGGCCUGACUAUUGCGAGACGAAAACGUUUAUGCCAGAGGCCUAAGAGCUGUCAACCUCUAGAACUCCUUUUCCCCAAAUACGAAAGAUUCUUGAAUUUUAAAAUUUUAAUUUUAA
rnacentral:snRNA from 1 species